rnacentral:rRNA from 1 species
GACAGAGGGUGCGAACGUUGUUCGGAAUUACUGGGCGUAAAGCGCAUGUAGGCGGCAGCGCAAGUCGGGCGUGAAAUCCCACGGCUCAACCGUGGAAGUGCACUCGAAACUGCGCAGCUAGAGUCCUGGAGAGGAAGGUGGAAUGCUUGGUGUAGAGGUGAAAUUCGUAGAUAUCAAGCGGAACACCGGUGGCGAAGGCGGCCCUUACUGGGACA